CUGCGAGUGAAGCGGCAAAAGCUCAAAUUUGAAAUCUGGCGUCCUCUGGGCGUCCGAGUUGUAAUUUGGAGGAGCGUCUUCGGGAGCGGCACCGUCCUAAGUUCUUUGGAACAGGACGUCAUAGAGGGUGAGAAUCCCGUGCCUGGGCGGUUGACCGUUCCCAUGCGAAGUGCUUCCGACGAGUCGAGUUGUUUGGGAAUGCAGCUCAAAAUGGGUGGUAAAUUUCAUCUAAAGCUAAAUAUUGGCGAGAGACCGAUAGCGCACAAGUAGAGUGAUCGAAAGAUGAAAAGCACUUUGAAAAGAGAGUUAAAAAGUACGUGAAAUUGUUGAAAGGGAAGCGCUUGAGAUCAAACUCGGCCUUUGGUGAUCCGCUGGGCUUCUGUCGGGUGAAAAUUUGCCAUUGGCCGGGCCAGCAUCGGUUCUGACGGUGGGAAAAACGGCCGGGGAAUGUGGCUCCUCUCGGGGAGUGUUUAUAGACCUGGCCUUCGAUACUGCCUGUUAGGACCGAGGACCGCGCUUCGGCUAGGAUGCUGGCGUAAUGGUCUUAAGCGACCCGUCUUGAAACACGGACCAAGGAGUCUAACAUCUAUGCGAGUGUUCGGGUGGAAAACCCUUGCGCGUAAUGAAAGUGAACGGAGGUGGGAACCGCAAGGUGCACCAUCGACCGAUCCUGAUGUCUUCGGAAGGAUUUGAGUAUGAGCAUAGCUGUUGGGACCCGAAAGAUGGUGAACUAUGCCUGAAUAGGGUGAAGCCAGAGGAAACUCUGGUGGAGGCUCGCAGCGGUUCUGACGUGCAAAUCGAUCGUCAAAUUUGGGUAUAGGGGCGAAAGACUAAUCGA
rnacentral:rRNA from 1 species